rfam:Camelus ferus unplaced genomic scaffold scaffold64113, whole genome shotgun sequence.
GAGGGUAUAGCUCAGUGGUAGAGUGUGUGCCUAACAUGCACGAGGUCCUGGGUUCAAUCCCCAGCACUGUCA